UACGAAGGGGGCGAGCGUUGUUCGGAAUUACUGGGCGUAAAGCGCGUGUAGGCGGUCCGGUAAGUCCGCUGUGAAAGUCGGGGGCUCAACCCUCGGAUGCCGGUGGAUACUGUCGGGCUUGAGUACGGAAGAGGCGAGUGGAAUUCCUGGUGUAGCGGUGAAAUGCGCAGAUAUCAGGAGGAACACCAAUUGCGAAGGCAGCUCGCUGGGACGUUACUGACGCUGAGACGCGAAAGCGUGGGGAGCAAACAGG
rnacentral:rRNA from 1 species